CGCCGUGUGUGCAUGUGAACAGCGGUCCAAACUCAGUGUGAAAUGGUGAGUGAUGACAUCAGGAGGGCUUCCCGAUGUCAUCGUGCCAUCUUGCAACAUUUCGGUUGGUGGGCACACGUGAAUAUCGGAAGCGUGCCUGCCACGUUAAAGGGCCAAUUAAGGCCAUUAAAAGGCUAAUCGUCCUGGAUUUUGAGAGGCCUGUGUGCUUUUAUGCUUGGUGCAUGGGCCAAUUGGAGAGGUGGGCUACACAUUUUUUCAACUUUUUGGAUCCAGGACCAUAAGGAAUAGUGAGAUGAAGAGAUUAAGUGCCUGCCAGCAGAUAAUUAGGAUGGGCUGUUUCCUGACCAUAUAUAAGUGGCAUGCACCUGGCGAGCUUCGUUUUGACAAUGGCUUCGAGCAUUCCAUAGUUCCAUGACUGCUGGACAUGUAGCCACCAUAUAAAGGGUGUCAAAUUUCCCAACCAGGUUCAAAACGACCGCUGAAGCUGUCUAGGCUGACACAGGAAGAAUGGCUAUUUGGCUGAGGCAGCAGAAGCUAUUACCACCUGGAAAUACACGUUGAAACACAAGUCACAGCUUUUUGAAGAAAAGGCAAAAAAUG